GUUUUCAGUUUUCCUCGGUAGUUAACUGCAGCCGGUUCCAUAAUUCGGCAGUCAACUGCCAAGGGGCAU
rnacentral:pre_miRNA from 1 species